rnacentral:rRNA from 1 species
UACGUAGGGUGCAAGCGUUGUCCGGAAUUAUUGGGCGUAAAGAGCUCGUAGGCGGUUUGUCGCGUCUGCUGUGAAAACUCGGGGCUUAACCCUGGGCCUGCAGUGGGUACGGGCAGACUAGAGUGCGGUAGGGGAGACUGGAAUUCCUGGUGUAGCGGUGAAAUGCGCAGAUAUCAGGAGGAACACCGGUGGCGAAGGCGGGUCUCUGGGCCGAUACUGACGCUGAGGAGCGAAAGCGUGGGGAGCAAACAGG